UACGUAGGGAGCAAGCGUUGUCCGGAAUCAUUGGGCGUAAAGCGCGCGUAGGUGGCCCCAUAAGUCCGCUGUGAAAGUCAAAGGCUCAACCUUUGAAAGCCGGUGGAUACUGUGGGACUAGAGUACGGAAGAGGCGAGUGGAAUUCCUGGUGUAGCGGUGAAAUGCGCAGAUAUCAGGAAGAACACCCGUGGCGAAAGCGGCUCUCUGGAACGGUACUGACGCUGAGACGCGAAAGCGUGGGGAGCGAACAGG
rnacentral:rRNA from 1 species